rnacentral:sRNA from 1 species
CAUCAUGGUAGAGAAUGCCAACUACGGGCGCACGGACGACAAGAUUUGCGAUGCUGACCCUUUCCAGAUGGAGAAUGUGCAGUGCUACCUGCCGGACGCCUUCAAGAUCAUGUCACAGAGGUGUAACAACCGCACCCAGUGUGUGGUGGUCGCCGGCUCGGAUGCCUUUCCUGACCCCUGUCCUGGGACCUACAAGUACCUGGAGGUGCAGUACGACUGUGUCCCCUACAGUGAGUCAUCUUGUUCCUUGUGCGGAUGCGGGCCCUUCUCGCAUGAGUGAGUGAGGAGGAGACACCUUGACCCAUCACACAUGUGCACACAUGCAUGGGGCCUGGGCACAGUGGGGACAGCCGGGCCUGCUCUCUCCAACACACAUUCUCUAAUCCCAGACACCAGUGUCCACACUCAGUGCCUGCUCCCCCGC